ACUCAAAUGAAUUGACGGGGGCCCGCACAAGCGGGGAGCAUGUGGUUUAAUUCGAUGCAACGGAAGAACCUUACCUACUCUUGACAUCCAGAGAACUUAGCAGAGAUGCUUUGGUGCCUUCGGGAACUCUGAGACAGGUGCUGCAUGGCUGUCGUCAGCUCGUGUUGUGAAAUGUUGGGUUAAGUCCCGCAACGAGCGCAACCCUUAUCCUUUGUUGCCAGCGGUCCGGCCGGGAACUCAAAGGAGACUGCCAGUGAUAAACUGGAGGAAGGUGGGGAUGACGUCAAGUCAUCAUGGCCCUUACGAGUAGGGCUACACACGUGCUACAAUGGCGCAUACAAAGAGAAGCGAACUCGCGAGAGCAAGCGGACCUCAUAAAGUGCGUCGUAGUCCGGAUUGGAGUCUGCAACUCGACUCCAUGAAGUCGGAAUCGCUAGUAAUCGUAGAUCAGAAUGCUACGGUGAAUACGUUCCCGGGCCUUGUACACACCGCCCGUCACACCAUGGGAGUGGGUUGCAAAAAGAAGUAGGUAGCUUAACCUUCGGGAGGGCGCUUACCACUUUGUGAUUCAUGACU
rnacentral:rRNA from 1 species